rnacentral:rRNA from 1 species
GACGAACGCUGGCGGCGUGCUUAACACAUGCAAGUCGAACGAUGAAGAAGAGAAACGCGAACUUCGGUUCAAAUUUCACUUCGGAUUAGUGGCAGACGGGUGAGUAACGCGUGAGCAACCUACCUCUUACAAAGGGAUAGCCUCGGGAAACCGUGAUUAAUACCAUAUGACACAUUCAUAAGGCAUCUUAAGAAUGUUAAAGCUACGGCGGUAAGAGAUGGGCUCGCGUCCCAUUAGCUAGUUGGUGAGGUAACGGCCCACCAAGGCGACGAUGGGUAACCGGGCUGAGAGGGUGAACGGUCACAUUGGAACUGAGACACGGUCCAAACUCCUACGGGAGGCAGCAGUGGGGAAUAUUGCACAAUGGAGGGAACUCUGAUGCAGCGACGCCGCGUGAGCGAUGAAGGAAUUCGUUUCGUAAAGCUCUGUUCUAUGGGGAGAAAAGGACUGUACCAUAGGAGAAAGCCCCGGCUAAAUACGUG